AGAGCGGCGGACGGGUGAGUAACACGUGGACAAUCUGCCCCCCGGCCCGGGAUAGCCCAGGGAAACCUGGAUUAAUACCGGAUGAGACGGGACCCGCGAUGGCGGGACCCGGGAAAGGCGCUGCGGCGCCGCCGGGGGAUGAGUCUGCGUCCCAUUAGCUAGACGGCGGGGUAACGGCCCACCGUGGCGACGAUGGGUAGCCGGCCUGAGAGGGUGGACGGCCACAUUGGAACUGAGACACGGUCCAGACUCCUACGGGAGGCAGCAGCUAAGAAUCUUCCGCAAUGGGCGAAAGCCUGACGGAGCGAACCGCCGCGUGAACGAAGAAGGCCGUGAGGUUGUAAAGUUCUUUUCGGGAGGGGGAACAACCGUGGCAGGGAAUGGCCGCGGGAUGACGUGAAUCCCGGAAUAAGCCCCGGCUAACUACGUGCCAGCCGCCGC
rnacentral:rRNA from 1 species